AUUUCCGCUCCGGAUCAAAUGAGUGCAAAGAAACUGUGACAACGGUUCCACUGCAGCAAGAGGAAGCAAUGUGGUAUUUUUACUGAUAUAUCCUACCCCGUUCUCAUGUUUCCACUGGGUUAGCUAAAUACGAAGUGGCAUUACAGGUUUGGGCACGCAGUUGUCUACGUAGCCCAGUGCUGCUAGGUUGUGUAAUUCACAUAGGUUACAUAGCCUACAGUAGGGUAUACAAUUUCGAAUCAAACCAAGAGUCUAACUGAAAUACUGUAUUUCGCUCAAGCAUAGACUAUUUGCCACCCGUAUUCUGUAUGGUUUUGGUUCUAUGGCAAACAUCUAAAUGUUUUCUCCUAGUGCAUUUAGCAUAAACAGGUUUAUAUCGGGCCCGGCCUAUCCGUUUAAUUAAGUUUGGCCGUGGGAAUAAUACAUGGCGUUCAAUUGUUCGAGUGCUGUUCGUUUUUUUCAUUCUGAACAUUUACGCAUUGAUAGCGUUUGAUUUCCAGUUUGAUGUUAACUUAGGCUACUUAAAUAUUUAAUUGUUUUCUUUGGUUAUGCAAAACGCACAGAUAGCCUGCACAUUGAGGGGAACUCCGUAUGAACAAUCUACGACAUUAGACAUAACUUAUUCUACGGGCCAAUUUUAGAAAAUGUUAAACGCAUUCGAACUGAAAACACAAAUAUUUAUUAGGCUUUUAUGAACGACCGUCUUUUCGAAGAUAUUGAUUUGUGUUGAAAUUGAAACAGUUUUAAGACUCGCUAGCGUUUGGAGGGUUUAUAACAGAGAUUUCUAUUGCGUAAAUCGACGUUACUUCUAACAGAGGGAAAUUGAAGUUGUUUUCUUUUUCCGAGUAUGGGCGCGUGGGCAGUCGGCAAUAGCAACCAGCAUGAUGGUGGGGCUAUUUCUAUCCUAUCCAGGCACGACUCGCUUGCGGGCUAACUGGAGGGCUGCAGUCUGCGGGGGUGGUGCUUUAUUACUAAGGUGUGUGAAUCAAGAAAAAAAACUGUUAAUCCUGGCUUACUUUGAUAUAAACUGUACAAACUAUUCGAGCAUAAUGUAAUAGGCUACACAAGACAGAGGCCAGCCAAGAUUUAAUCCUCAAUUCAUGUAUGACGAAUGGUAAUAUCUGUUGUAGGCUAAUAAAAGAAGCAGUAGUGUCUAAAUGCAUAGUUAUUUAAAAUGGAAGUUUUACUUGAAGAAAAUGGCUAUUCAUCUGAAUAAUUAUCUCGGUCACACACCAAAAAUUUUGAGAUGUUAUCUUUCUCAGCAUCACAGGUCCUCCUAGACAUGAUGUUCUUGUCCAGAAGUGGCAAAAUCCUUAUGCCCACACGAAAGUCAGGGAAGAGUGGCAGCUAGCAGCUAAUCAAAAUAACAAAUUCACUGUUACCCAUGUACAGUACCAUCAACAAUUAUUUACACAUGAUAAAAUGAAACAGACAAUACAGACAAUGUACUAUUUUGAACAUAUAAUGUUGUUUUUUAUUUUAUAAAAAGAUAUGUCUUUUAUUUUACAAAAAUAAAUGUGCAUUCACAUGAUAUUUCAUGUAAAUGUUAGGGAGCUCUAUUGUGGCCUACCAUGGCUUCCUGUUCCCAUGGGUAUAAAAAUAAGGUAACAUUAUAUCAAAUCCAUUCUUCACUAUCAUAGAGUGUACAGUAUAUAUUUAUGAGCACUAUGGAUGGUUAGGGUUCACAACAGUUACUUUUUUAGAAAUAAAUGUAUAAUUUCAGAAAAAUGUGAUUUUGGUUGAAUCCCAGGAAGUAGGAUGUUUUCCACAUGUUUGAGAAUUCAAAUAUUGCUCAAUAUUUGCAUGAUUUAUUAUAUAGUCUUUUUUGUUCCUUUUUAUCAGGAGUGUGAAUAACUUUGCUUCACCCCCAGCCUGUGGUUUUUAUGGCGUACGAACUACGGAUGAUUCCGGUUUUGUCCUUUUCAUAAUGAUUCCAACAGCAGCACCACAUGUGUGAAAUGGAGGAACAGCACUGAGGAGACAUAUUUAUGUAUGAUAGCACUACCAGUGGUCAGGAGUACAUGCCAAAUGAGCGUUCCUGUUGGCUACUCGAUAGAUGCACCACUGGUGUAAAUGGCACAGAAGGGCUCUGUGGGGUGCCACAUCCUCCCGCCCCUCUGAGUAAUUGCGCAAGGCGGCCGGAAAGGUUCCCACCCGUCCCCGGUGACAGCGCGGCUGAGCUUCCUCCGACCCCCUCCGGCAAAACGUGAGCUGUUGGCACGGUGCCACCGACCACGACGCACGCCAAUCAAUCUGUGUCAUCGCCAGAGAUCAGACCGCGUUAACAUCUCUGGGCAAGUUUCAGUUUCCUGUGGAAAGAUUACGACGUCUGUGCUUGUCAACAGCUGGUGUAGAACACAUGGUUUAGCUGAGACCUGAUGGAGAAAUGAAGGGAUGAGGCACACACCCAGCUGGACACCCUGGAUUUCCCAAUCUGCAUAGAGCUGGGACCUGGCAACAGACCUAUAAUGACCUGUUAAGAUAAACAACUGUCUGUUGGGUAGAUCAGUAAGGUAUGGUGGGUAAUAGUAAUCAUUUAAUUUUUAAUGCUUAACUUUAAUGUUUGUUUAAGCGGAAUUUGACAUUGUACUGAACUAUGAAUCUAAGUGCUUUUAAACAGUCCCACCCUGUAAUAGUGCUGUGCCAAUAAGUAUUUCAUUGUAUGUUAUGCUAAGGGUUGCCAAGGUACUGAAAUAAUAAUAUCAACAUUAAAACAUUACU